AUUGAACGCUGGCGGCAUGCUUUACACAUGCAAGUCGAACGGCAGCGCGGGCUUCGGCCUGGCGGCGAGUGGCGAACGGGUGAGUAAUAUAUCGGAACGUACCCUAGAGUGGGGGAUAACCAGUCGAAAGAUUGGCUAAUACCGCAUACGAUCUCAGGAUGAAAGUGGGGGACCGCAAGGCCUCAUGCUACUGGAGCGGCCGAUAUCUGAUUAGCUAGUUGGUGGGGUAAAGGCCCACCAAGGCGACGAUCAGGAGCUGGUCUGAGAGGACGAUCAGCCACACUGGGACUGAGACACGGCCCAGACUCCUACGGGAGGCAGCAGUGGGGAAUUUUGGACAAUGGGGGCAACCCUGAUCCAGCAAUGCCGCGUGAGUGAAGAAGGCCUUCGGGUUGUAAAGCUCUUUUGUCAGGGAAGAAAAGGCCUGGGCUAAUAUCCUGGGUUCAUGACGGUACCUGAAGAAUAAGCACCGGCUAACUACGUGCCAGCCGCCGCAGUAAUAC
rnacentral:rRNA from 1 species